AAUUGUGUUUACCAUUCUAAUUGUUACACAUUGCGUGUGUAAUGAAUUGUUUGAUCAUGGCAUGCUGCUACCAACACGNCAAACACAUGUGUUUUUGAAACAGAGCAACAUGGAAUGUGAGAGUCAUGCUUGGUUUGCGCAUAUAGGGUACAGUGUGUGCCUUGUGAUUCACAUUCCUCGCCAUUGGAAUGCAAAUAAUCAUGGUAGUGUUCAUGAAGCAUCAUACUUGUUUGAGAUUCAUGAUGGGCAAGUACCAUGAGGGAAAUGUGAAAAGGACUUUGGAAAGAGAUUUAAACAGAGCUUACAAUUGUUGACCAUAUAUGCAAGUGAAGCAUAUUCGUGGAAUUUUGAAUAUUGUGAUUGGGUGUUCUGUUCAUGAUUGUUGUUCUUUUCCACUGUACAUUAUUGCUGCAUGCUUGCAUGUAAUACAUCUGUUAAUUCUACAAUUACUUUUGUUUGGAUUUACUUACAGGUUUGCUUAUGUGUGACAAUUCAUGCAACUACCCAUAUGUUCCAUGUGCGUAACUGCUACUGCUUACAAAGCACAAAUCGAUUUAUGUGACAGUGUGCAUUGUGAGUUCACCAUGGCUGAUUUAUGACAUCACUUGACCCGUCUUGAAACACGGACCAAGGAGUCUGGCAAGUGUGCUAGCAGAAUGAUGACAACCAUAAUGCAAUGAACAUAAUGGUUGGGACAUGUGCAACGCUUAUCAAGUGCUGGUUUGUGUGCAUUUGAAAGUGAGCAUUGUUGCCAGGACCCGAAAGAUGGUGAACUAUGCUUGCGUAAAAUGAAUUCAGAGGAAACUCUGAUGGAAGUUUGUAUCGGUACU
rnacentral:rRNA from 1 species